UGAGGAACAUGACCUUCGGCGGGGGAGUAGCCGGCCCAACGGCCGGGUAAUACCGCGUACGACCACAUGGGGACAUCCCUGAGUGGUGAAAGCAGCAAUGCGCCGAUGGAGUGCCUCGCGGCCUAUCAGCUAGUUGGUGAGGUAAUGGCUCACCAAGGCGACGACGGGUAGCUGGUCUGAGAGGAUGAUCAGCCACAUUGGGACUGAGACACGGCCCAGACUCCG
rnacentral:rRNA from 1 species